rnacentral:rRNA from 1 species
UAGCGUAGGGGGCUAGCGUUGUCCGGAAUCAUUGGGCGUAAAGAGCGUGUAGGCGGUUCCGGUAAGUCCGCUGUGAAAGUCGGGGGCUCAACCCUCGAAUGCCGGUGGAUACUGUCGGGCUAGAGUGCGGAAGAGGCGAGGUGGAAUUCCUGGUGGUAGCGGUGAAAUGACGCAGAUAUCAGGAGGAACACCGGUGGCGAAGGCGGAUCUCUGGGCCAUUACUGACGCUGAGGAGCGAAAGCGUGGGGGAGCGAACAGG